rnacentral:rRNA from 1 species
GCGGAAGCUUAAGUGUGGCCUGAAAGCCCCCGGCUCAACCGGGGAGGGUGGCUGCAAACUGGGCUUCUUGAGGGGGAUAGAGGAAAGUGGAAUUCCGGGUGUAGCGGUGAAAUGCGUAGAGAUCCGGAGGAACACCAGUGGCGAAGGCGGCUUUCUGGGUCCGCCCUGACGCUGAGGCGCGAAAGCGUGGGGAGC